UGAAUACGAGAUGCUACGGCGUCGAAGCAGUCUAUGUCAUACUUCCAAGAAAAGCUCGCACUGUCAUAAACAAAUAAUGCCUGUACCAUAACCGACACAGGUGGGUAGGUAGAGUAUACUAAGGGGCGCGAGAUAACUCUCUCUAAGGAACUCGGCAAAAUGACUCCGUAACUUCGGGAGAAGGAGUGCCUUAUUUAUAAGGUUGCAAUAACAAGAUCCAAGCAACUGUUUAUCAAAAACACAGGUCUCCGCUAAGUCGUAAGACGAUGUAUGGGGGCUGACGCCUGCCCAGUGCCAGAAGGUUAAAGAAGUUGGUUAGCAUUCGCGAAGCUGAUAACUGAAGCCCUGGUGAACGGCGGCCGUAACAAUAACGGUCCUAAGGUAGCGAAAUUCCUUGUCGGGUAAGUUCCGACCCGCACGAAAGGCGUAAUGAUUUGGAUACUGUCUCGGAGAGGGGCUCGGUGAAAUAGACUUGUCUGUGAAGAUGCGGACUACCUGCACCAGGACAGAAAGACCCUAUGAAGCUUUACUGUAACUUGAGAUUGAAAUUGGACUUUACUUGCGCAGUAUAGGUGGGAGGCGUUGAUAAUAUUCUUGCGGGAUUAUUUGAGCCAUCAGUGAGAUACCACUCUUGUAAUGUUAGAUUUCUAACUUUGUAUCAUUAUCUGGUCAAAGGACAGUUUCAGGCGGGCAGUUUGACUGGGGCGGUCGCCUCCUAAACGGUAACGGAGGCGCACAAAGGUUUCCUCUGAACGGGUAGAAAUCGUAUCUAGAGUGUAAAGGCAUAAGGAAGCUUGACUGUGAGACCUACAAGUCGAGCAGGGACGAAAGUCGGUCUUAGUGAUCUGACGGUGCUGAGUGGAAAGGCCGUCACUCAACGGAUAAAAGUUACUCUAGGAUAACAGGCUGAUCUCCCCCAAGAGUUCACAUCGACGGGGAGGUUUGGCACCUCGAUGUCGGCUCAUCGCAUCCUGGGGCGGUAGUACGUCCCAAGGGUUGGGCUGUUCGCCCAUGAAAGCGGUACGCGAGCUGGGUUCAGAACGUCGUGAGACAGUUCGGUCCAUAUCCGGUGUAGGCGUUAGAAUAUUGAGAGGAGCCUUCUUUAGUACGAGAGGACCGAGAAGGACAUACCUCUGGUGUACCAGUUAUCGUGCCAACGGUAAACGCUGGGUAGCUAUGUAUGGAGUGGAUAACCGCUGAAAGCAUCUAAGUGGGAAGCCCACCUCAAGAUAAGUAUUCU
rnacentral:rRNA from 1 species